rnacentral:rRNA from 1 species
UACGGAGGGCGCAAGCGUUGUUCGGAAUCACUGGGCGUAAAGCGCGUGUAGGCGGCCGGGCAAGUCGGAUGUGAAAUCCCGAGGCUCAACCUCGGAACUGCAUUCGAUACUGCGUGGCUCGAGGUAGGUAGGGGAGAUCGGAAUUCCUGGUGUAGCGGUGGAAUGCGCAGAUAUCAGGAGGAACACCGGUGGCGAAGGCGGAUCUCUGGGCCUUACCUGACGCUCAGGCGCGAAAGCUAGGGGAGCGAACAGG